UUUAUGGAGAGUUUGAUCCUGGCUCAGGAUGAACGCUGGCGGCGUGCCUAAUACAUGCAAGUCGAGCGAACGGACGAGAAGAUUGCUUCUCUGAUGUUAGCGGCGGACGGGUGAGUAACACGUGGAUAACCUACCUAUAAGACUGGGAUAACUUCGGGAAACCGGAGCUAAUACCGGAUAAUAUUUUGAACCGCAUGGUUCAAAAGUGAAAGACGGUCUUGCUGUCACUUAUAGAUGGAUCCGCGCUGCAUUAGCUAGUUGGUAAGGUAACGGCUUACCAAGGCAACGAUGCAUAGCCAACCUGAGAGGGUGAUCGGCCACACUGGAACUGAGACACGGUCCAGACUCCUACGGGAGGCAGCAGUAGGGAAUCUUCCGCAAUGGGCGAAAGCCUGACGGAGCAACGCCGCGUGAGUGAUGAAGGUCUUCGGAUCGUAAAACUCUGUUAUUAGGGAAGAACAUAUGUGUAAGUAACUGUGCACAUCUUGACGGUACCUAAUCAGAAAGCCACGGCUAACUACGUGCCAGCAGCCGCGGUAAUACGUAGGUGGCAAGCGUUAUCCGGAAUUAUUGGGCGUAAAGCGCGCGUAGGCGGUUUUUUAAGUCUGAUGUGAAAGCCCACGGCUCAACCGUGGAGGGUCAUUGGAAACUGGAAAACUUGAGUGCAGAAGAGGAAAGUGGAAUUCCAUGUGUAGCGGUGAAAUGCGCAGAGAUAUGGAGGAACACCAGUGGCGAAGGCGACUUUCUGGUCUGUAACUGACGCUGAUGUGCGAAAGCGUGGGGAUCAAACAGGAUUAGAUACCCUGGUAGUCCACGCCGUAAACGAUGAGUGCUAAGUGUUAGGGGGUUUCCGCCCCUUAGUGCUGCAGCUAACGCAUUAAGCACUCCGCCUGGGGAGUACGACCGCAAGGUUGAAACUCAAAGGAAUUGACGGGGACCCGCACAAGCGGUGGAGCAUGUGGUUUAAUUCGAAGCAACGCGAAGAACCUUACCAAAUCUUGACAUCCUUUGACAACUCUAGAGAUAGAGCCUUCCCCUUCGGGGGACAAAGUGACAGGUGGUGCAUGGUUGUCGUCAGCUCGUGUCGUGAGAUGUUGGGUUAAGUCCCGCAACGAGCGCAACCCUUAAGCUUAGUUGCCAUCAUUAAGUUGGGCACUCUAAGUUGACUGCCGGUGACAAACCGGAGGAAGGUGGGGAUGACGUCAAAUCAUCAUGCCCCUUAUGAUUUGGGCUACACACGUGCUACAAUGGACAAUACAAAGGGCAGCGAAACCGCGAGGUCAAGCAAAUCCCAUAAAGUUGUUCUCAGUUCGGAUUGUAGUCUGCAACUCGACUACAUGAAGCUGGAAUCGCUAGUAAUCGUAGAUCAGCAUGCUACGGUGAAUACGUUCCCGGGUCUUGUACACACCGCCCGUCACACCACGAGAGUUUGUAACACCCGAAGCCGGUGGAGUAACCUUUUAGGAGCUAGCCGUCGAAGGUGGGACAAAUGAUUGGGGUGAAGUCGUAACAAGGUAGCCGUAUCGGAAGGUGCGGCUGGAUCACCUCCUUUCU
rnacentral:rRNA from 1 species